CUGGGUUACAGAUAUUAUGGCACCGAUAAAAUGUGUUGGUUGAGUACAGAAAACCACUUCAUUUGGAGUUUCAUUGGGCCAGCGUGUUUGAUCAUUCUGGUUAAUCUUUUAGCUUUUGGAGUAAUCAUCUUCAAAGUGUACCGGCAUACUGUUGUGAAAAAGCCUGAACUCAGCCACUAUGAAAACAUCAGGUCGUGUGCUCGUGGGGCCGUGCCC